rnacentral:rRNA from 1 species
CCCUUAGAUGUUCUGGGCCGCACGCGCGCUACACUGACCAGUGCAACAAGCAUCCGUCCUUGGCCGACAGGCCCGGGCAAUCUUUGAACGCUGGUCGUGAUGGGGAUAGACUUUUGCAAUUUUUGGUCUUCAACGAGGAAUUCCUAGUAAACGCAAGUCAUCAACUUGCAUUGAUUACGUCCCUGCCCUUUGUACACACCGCCCGUCGCACCUACCGAUUGAAUGGUCCGGUGAAGCCUCCGGAUUGGCGCGCACCUCGGUGCCGCCGAGAAGUUGGCUAAACCUUACCAUUUAGAGGAAGGUGUANUCGUANCA